CUCCCUGCCGCCUCCCUGCCCCCCUCCCUCCCUGCCUGCUCCCUGAGACAUUGUGACUUGUAGGGAGAGAGAGAGCAGGCAGGUUGGGAGGGAAGGAAGGAGGAAUAUUUUUCUGACUCACCCUAUAAAUAUGGUCUAAAUAUAAUCAUAAUAUCGUCAGUUUCUCUUCAUAGGUCAGUCUUAGUUUCAUCAUAUUUUCUGAAUAAUUAAAACCACGAAUCAUUCAUCACAAGAAACCGAUGCUCAGGUCGAUGGGAUAAUUCACUAAGUGUCGUAGUGUAUAGUGGAGGUGAGAAGAGAGAAAGUAUGUUAUUCCUAAAGCCUUCGAGUGAUUACACUUAUAUCUGACAUAAUUAAGUAGUUUUGAUUAAUUUAAGUGAUUAAGUAGUUUAGAUUAAUUUAAGUGAUUCAAAACACCGAUAAUUUGCUUCCUCAUAACACACUCUGAGCGCAUUGUUAGCGGGGGGGGGGGUUAUUGUGACUGACAGACAUACAUCAGUUCGGUCAGGUACUUAAGAAGCGACUAAAUAAAUCUCUAUUACUUCACUACAACAUAAGUCAUCCUCCAGCUAGUGUGAAGGUCGAGGGUGACAUCUCCUGGUGACUGUGGCAGAGGAGGUCCAGUGAUACUUGAAGUCACAGAGACGUCAGCCUGGUUAAGUGUAACACCUGACGUCCGUGUAGAAGGAGUGACCUGGUAAUACUGUGAGGGCGUCUUGUGUGGUGACCCGAGGCCGUCUUGUGUGGUGACCCGAGGCCGUCUUGUGUGGUGACUCGAGGCCGUCUUGUGUGGUGACCCGAGGCCGUCUUGUGUGGUGACCCGAGGUAUUAAGGCCAGAGAGAUAGACUACACACAUGAGUGAUGAAUUAAAGGAACACACAAGUCUCCCCUAAUAGUUAUGUUUUGUUUAUAAAUCGUUUAUAUUAUAUCAUGGUUAUGUUUUACUUCAGCUAUUACAGAUUAUUAUACUGACAACAGAUUAACUCUCGUCUUAAUUACUCACUUUAUAGACAAUUAAGUGGUUUAUUGACCCUCAAAUGAUGUCAUUACACUGGUUUAAUUUAUAAUGUCUUAAAUAUCCAUUAAUCAUAAGUCAUUCCCAUGAUCAUCACUAAUCUUUGAAGUCAUUCCAAUCUCUACUAAUCACUAGUUACCUAAUAAUCAAUGCUAUCGUUUUUAUGUCAACAUUAUAUUCAUGACCAAUCAUCGGUCUCAUUCCAGUCACGACUCCUCAUGACGUCAUUACAAGCACGACCAAUCAUCAUCGAUGUUAGGACUCAACUAGUACUCUAUUAUUUAAAUUGUGAAUCAAUACUCACGUACGACACCAGUGCAGGUUCGACCAAUCACCAGACACCUGUGAUGUCAUAACUUACGUCAUCACAGGUGCGACCAAUCAUCAGACACGCUAUAUAUAUCUUCAAUAAACGAAAUAGUUAAGGAAGAGAGAGACUUGUUCCGUUAUUCUCGUAGGUUUAGAGUUGAUGUGGUCCAGAUAACAGAGAUUUAUUGUAUAUGAAUUAUGAAAGAGGAUUAUUUGUGUGUUUAAGUUAUGCCACUAUCAUUACGGGGUUAAUGUGGGUGUGUGUGUGUGUAAAGUCUCUUAAUACAUACACCUCAAUAUUCACACAACACACACACACACACACACACACACACACACCUGUAAACACCUCAGUUAACCCUUUAAUAUUUUCGCCACAAUUCUGUACAUAAAUAUAUCUUGAUGUCGUGUGGCUAAGAUAUUCCUCCAUUUAGAUGUUGUGCUGUACUUUCAGGCAAAACUAGCCGUUAUGAGUCCGUUUAUAAGAGCUAUUUCUAUACCUUCAAGACUAAUGUGGAAUACGCCUAGUGUGGUGCGUACUAAAGCUAAACAAACACUGGGUACAGGAUUAUGAUCCCUCUGUUAUGCUUACUUAAGGUUCACAUUCCAAUGUAUAUGUUUAAGUCUCUGUUUGUUUACAUCUAGAAAACCUCGUUCCUAUACGCCUACGUCAUAGGUUCUGGUUUAUGUAUAUUAUUAUGUAUUUCGUUAUGUAUUUUUUACGAUUGUUUAAGGCAGUGAAGACGAGGGGAAGCGAGAUACAUGUUGAUGAAGCUUUGGAUACAUCAUACACAGACACAGGUGAAGUGUUUGUUAAUGAGGUGGCAGGUAAAAUGUGUCCCAGUGUUGAAUAUAACGACUCUUACCUGACCCAGCCUUAUGGGGUCAAACACCCUUAAUGAUUCCAAAUUGUCGAGGGUCAUAAUUCUAGUGAUUGGGUUGGAAUUGGUUAUUAGGGUCUAUUAGGACUGGGGCCUAAUAGGACUGGGUCAUAUAUAGUUUGGGGGUGUUACCAUAACCUCAAACUAUACUACAAUAUAUUUAAAAAACAAUCCAUAACCUUGAUACCUAUUUUAACAGCCUGUGCCCAGUGCUUGUUCAGAUGUAUAAAAUGUACAUACAUACAUACAUACAUACAUACAUACAUACAUACAUACAUACAUACAUACAUACAUACAUAGAGAGAUAUUUACUCUUUAUUCCUCCUUAAUCUAUCGACUUUGCUGCCAUUCUGAUGAUAAAUAUUUGCUUCUCCUCCAUAAGAGAGAAUAGGUGUUGUGAGUGAGCUUUGGACAAUGUUGGAGACGACCUAACCUAACCUAACCUAACCUAACCUAACCUAAACUAACCUAACCUAACCUAACCUAACCUAACCUAACCUAACCUAACCUAAUUUUAUGGUCGUUGGGUUGUGUUUCCGUUCGCGGUACUACAUCAACAUUCAGUAAUUAAUUGGGCUAAUCCAUGGAUCAGAUUCAUUGUAUAUUACACUCCUGCAGUUUGUCAAGUCUCUUACCUGUCGGGGAGGGAGGCAGGUGAACAGGUAACUGGAGGUCGAUGUUAUUCUCAGUUAAUAUAGGAAUAUAUAACCCUGGUAGUUGAUCACUAACAACCACUGACAAUGAAAACAAAUUAUAUAUAUCCUGUAGAUUUAAUCACUCAUUCAAAGGUAAUAAUGGCGGCGUCUCUGACAAGAUAGGAACAACAUAUAGUGAGUUUGCUAUAAUAUUUAUAUUUUAAAACAGGAAGUACUUCCACUUCUACAUUUUAAUAAUAAUAAUAAUAUUAUCAAUAAUAAUAGUAAUGUAAGUUAUAUUUAGUAAGUCUUGUUGGCAGCUCUAUAUGUAUACAUGGUUCUUUGAUAUAUAUAUAUAUAUAUAUAUAUAUAUAUAUAUAUAUAUAUAUAUAUAUAUAUAUAUAUAUAUAUAUAUAUAUAUAUAUAUAUAUAUAUAUAUAUAUAUAUAUGUGUGUGUGUGUGUGUGUGUGUGUGUGUGUGUGUGUGUGUUGAUUUAUGCUAUUUCUCUAUUGCUACAAAUUAUGGUAAUAAUAUUGUUGAGCUGAAGACUGCAGCGAGUAAUAAGUCUUGUCAGUCAUUUACUAUAAGCCUUGGUAAGUGUGUAAACACUUUGUGUGUAGGAGGUAGAUAACGUUAGGUUGUUUCAGGGAAAGAAUUUUGAUGUCAAGUUAAUUUUCCAUAUUUGUGAGAAGUAAAGGAACAUACUUUACAGUACAUCAGGUGUGAGGAACAAUGUACCUGUAUAUAUUUCUUCUACAUCAUUCUUGCUCUCAUGUUGACUAACCAGGACUUGGUCGGUCGUUUAGGACUUGAGGGCCUCACUCUUGGUGGUUUAUUUAGUCUUGGACUUAAGUGCAUCAGGCGCUCGUGCCCACAGUACUGACUCAUACUUAAUAAUGUCUUACUCUUGUGUCUAUGAACACACACACACACACACACACACACACACACACACACACACACACACACACACACACAUGGAUCAGUCACGUUAUAGAGUGUAACAACUCCCUACAGUGUACCAUAUAUCGGGGUUAUAUAAACAUUUAAGUAAAUACAAAUUAGCUUAUACAAGUAAACAAGACGUGAGUCUAUAGUCAAGAAAACAAGUUAACUACACCAGUACCUCUUAUACGGGGGUGAGGCGAUAUACAUACAUACAUACAUACAUACAUACAUACAUACAUACAUACAUACAUACAUACAUACAUACAUACAUACAUACAUACAUACAUACAUACAUACAUACAUACAUACAUACAUACAUACAUACAUACAUACAUACAUACAUACAUACAUACAUACAUAAAAUACACACAAACAUACAUACACUAGAUUGUGUAUGCAUACCUUCCUACAUACUAUCUUCAGUAACCGUCAGGGGCAGGGAAGACCCCAGCUCACCUUACGAGUCGUAUGUAUUUGUUGUGUACUUAAAGCAAUAUAUUUCUUUAAAAGGUUUUAUACUGUAUAACUGUAACGUAAUGCAGGGAUACAGAGAAACCAGUACUAAACAUUUCCUUCUGUGUUACUAAACUAAUCUUAUUGUAUGAAUAUUGGAACAUCUUUGGAUUAAUACAAAAAUAACAUGUAAAGUCUUGAGAAAGUUUAUAAGGAUAAUAUUCUCCCUUAAGAGGUGACAGUCAUACAGUAACUAAUAUAUAGAAGUUAUCAUUAUAUGAACAUAUAUUGGAAGAAACUAUAUGAUAAAUGCUAUAUAGAGGAGACAGAUGUAGGAACAUAACCAAAUAUCAUUGAAAUUUUCUGAUAAUGGGAAUUAUUGGUGGGGGCAGUACAUCACCCUGGCAGACGUAUCACAUAUCAUUACAAGUCACUAUAGACAACUGGUUCUCCUCCCCUCAACCAUAUGCAACUCACCUGUGAUGUAUCACUUAUCUACUUAAAUGUUACUUCGGUGUUACAUAAGUAUCUGUCACUUAUAAUAAGAAGCAAGUUUUUAUUUUCCUGUUUUUAGUGUCAGAUUUGUGAUAUAACUUACUGGUAUUGUUAUAAUCACCUGAGAGCUAAUUAAUCUCACCUUACCUGUGUUUACCUGUUUUAUUUUUCAUACAGACAUAAACACGUUCAUAUAUAGAUAUAAAAUACGUAUAUCUAAUUUUUUACUUAAUAUUCUAUCACUUUUGGAUAGUUUCCCUUGACUGGUGCACUGAGUAUUAUAUUGAAAUACAUGUUGUAUAUUUUUCACAUACUCCCAUACAUGAUUGUCAGGAGUCUUAUGAUUGUGUGUAUUUUAGUUGUCAACUCAAUAACGUGUAUGUGUUCGUAACAUACAAACUUGCGUGUGUAUUUUUCUAAUGGACUUUGCUGGAGUGAUGUUGUAGGCAGAUUUCUUGUACUUAAGCAUCUCAUUAACCUAUUGUAUUACUGUUGCUCAUACUCUGGUCUACAAUGACUUAUACAGAUUGUCCAGACAACUUUAUUGCUGACGUUGAAGAAGCUGCUGACUCGCAUGCUGACACCUGUGUUGACUAAGCAGUGUGUAUAUAUUUUACCAGUACACUUUGUGGUCAUUAUAUUCAUUGAUAAUCUAUAAAUAUACAUUAUCUCACUCUCUAUAA